GGUGCGAGCGUUAAUNGGAAUUACUGGGCGUAAAGCGGGCGCAGACGGUUACUUAAGCAGGAUGUGAAAUCCCCGGGCUCAACCUGGGAACUGCGUUNUGAACUGGGUGACUAGAGUGUGUCAGAGGGAGGUAGANUUCCACGUGUAGCAGUGAAAUGCGUAGAGAUGUGGAGGAAUNCCGAUGGCGAAGGCAGCCUCCUGGGAUAACACUGACGUUCAUGCCCGAAAGCGUGGGUAGCAAACAGGAUUAGAUACCCUGGUAGUCCACGCCCUAAACGAUGACGAUUAGCUGUUGGGCAGCAUGACUGCUUAGUAGCGAAGCUAACGCGUGAAAUCGACCGCCUGGGGAGUACGGUCGCAAGAUUAAAACUCAAAGGAAUUGACGGGGACCCGCACAAGCGGUGGAUGAUGUGGAUUAAUUCGAUGCAACGCGAAGAACCUUACUUGGUCUUGACAUGUACGGAAUCCUCCAGAGACGGAGGAGUGCCUACGGGAGCCGUAACACAGGUGCUGCAUGGCUGUCGUCAGCUCGUGUCGUGAGAUGUUGGGUUAAGUCCCGCAACGAGCGCAACCCUUGUCAUUAGUUGCCAUCAUUAAGUUGGGCACUCUAAUGAGACUGCCGGUGACAAGCCGGAGGAAGGUGGGGAUGACGUCAAGUCCUCAUGGCCCUUAUGACCAGGGCUUCACACGUCAUACAAUGGUCGGUACAGAGGGUAGCCAAGCCGCGAGGCGGAGCCAAUCUCACAAAACUGAUCGUAGUCCGGAUUGCACUCUGCAACUCGAGUGCAUGAAGUCGGAAUCGCUAGUAAUCGCAGGUCAGCAUACUGCGGUGAAUACGUUCCCGGGUCUUGUACACACCGCCCGUCACACCAUGGGAGUGGGGGAUACCAGAAGUAGGUAGGNUAACCGCAAGGAGCCCGC
rnacentral:rRNA from 1 species